CACACCGCCCGUCACACCAUGGGAGUUAGUUGCUCCAGAAGCGGCUGUGCUAACCCGCAAGGGAGGCGGGUCUCCAAGGAGUGACUGGUAACUGGGGUG
rnacentral:rRNA from 1 species